rnacentral:rRNA from 1 species
GACGAACGCUGGCGGCGUGCUUAACACAUGCAAGUCGAACGGAAAGGCCCUGCUUUUGUGGGGUGCUCGAGUGGCGAACGGGUGAGUAACACGUGAGUAACCUGCCCUUGACUUUGGGAUAACUUCAGGAAACUGGGGCUAAUACCGGAUAGGAGCUCCUGCUGCAUGGUGGGGGUUGGAAAGUUUCGGCGGUUGGGGAUGGACUCGCGGCUUAUCAGCUUGUUGGUGGGGUAGUGGCUUACCAAGGCUUUGACGGGUAGCCGGCCUGAGAGGGUGACCGGCCACAUUGGGUCUGAGAUACGGCCCAGACUCCUACGGGAGGCAGCAGCGGGGAAUAUUGCACAAUGGGCGGAAGCCUGAUGCAGCAACGCCGCGUGCGGGAUGACGGCCUUCGGGUUGUAAACCGCUUUCGCCUGUGACGAAGCGUGAGUGACGGUAAUGGGUAAAGAAGCACCGGCUAACUACGUGCCAGCAGCCGCGGUGAUACGUAGGGUGCGAGCGUUGUCCGGAUUUAUUGGGCGUAAAGGGCUCGUAGGUGGUUGAUCGCGUCGGAAGUGUAAUCUUGGGGCUUAACCCUGAGCGUGCUUUCGAUACGGGUUGACUUGAGGAAGGUAGGGGAGAAUGGAAUUCCUGGUGGAGCGGUGGAAUGCGCAGAUAUCAGGAGGAACACCAGUGGCGAAGGCGGUUCUCUGGGCCUUUCCUGACGCUGAGGAGCGAAAGCGUGGGGAGCGAACAGGCUUAGAUACCCUGGUAGUCCACGCUGUAAACGGUGGGUACUAGGUGUGGGGUCCAUUCCACGGGUUCCGUGCCGUAGCUAACGCUUUAAGUACCCCGCCUGGGGAGUACGGCCGCAAGGCUAAAACUCAAAGGAAUUGACGGGGCCCCGCACAAGCGGCGGAGCAUGCGGAUUAAUUCGAUGCAACGCGUAGAACCUUACCUGGGUUUGACAUGGAUCGGGAGUGCUCAGAGAUGGGUGUGCCUCUUUUGGGGUCGGUUCACAGGUGGUGCAUGCCUGUCGUCAGCUCGUGUCGUGAGAUGUUGGGUUAAGUCCCGCAACGAGCGCAACCCUUGUUCACUGUUGCCAGCACGUUAUGGUGGGGACUCAGUGGAGACCGCCGGGGUCAACUCGGAGGAAGGUGGGGAUGACGUCAAGUCAUCAUGCCCCUUAUGUCCAGGGCUUCACGCAUGCUACAAUGGCUGGUACAGAGAGUGGCGAGCCUGUGAGGGUGAGCGAAUCUCGGAAAGCCGGUCUCAGUUCGGAUUGGGGUCUGCAACUCGACCUCAUGAAGUCGGAGUCGCUAGUAAUCGCAGAUCAGCAACGCUGCGGUGAAUACGUUCCCGGGGCU